GAGAACGUCUUAUACCUUCCAGUCGCCAAACUUAGAUAGGUAUAGGGCGUUUUUUC
rnacentral:sRNA from 1 species